ACCAGGAGGAUGGGAGAGACCCCGGUGCCCUCCUCACAUCUGCCAGAGCCGUGGUGAUGCGCAUGGUGCCGGCUUUGGGUGGCCUCACAUCCCCAGAAUCCUGUUUGACAGUCCGAUUAUCCUCAAGAAGAGAGGACCGUCCUGAUGCAGUCCCAGAGGAGAAGGAUUAACAACCCUGGAAGCAGUGAGAGAAGAUUCACGCUGAUGUGAGGAAGACAGAUGCGUGUGUAGUUCAAGUUCAUCUUGGCAAAGUCAUGCUGAAAAUGCCAAUCUGACAACGUUAAUGCUGGCAGGAAAACAAAUGUAUGAGGGGGCUGGAUCACUUCAGCUCUUGCACUCUUUGAACUUAUCUCGCGUGCUUGACAUGCUUUGUUGCCUCUGGAUAUAUUGCAGGACACAGC